CAGCAGCCACGGUAAUACGAAGGGGGCUAGCGUUGUUCGGAAUUACUGGGCGUAAAGCGCACGUAGGCGGAUAUUUAAGUCAGGGGUGAAAUCCCGCAGCUCAACUGCGGAACUGCCUUUGAUACUGGGUAUCUUGAGUAUGGAAGAGGUUAGUGGAAUUGCGAGUGUAGAGGUGAAAUUCGUAGAUAUUCGCAGGAACACCAGUGGCGAAGGCGGCUAACUGGUCCAUAACUGACGCUGAGGUGCGAAAGCGUGGGGAGCAAACAGGAUUAGAUACCCCCGUAGUCCCUGUCUCUUAUAU
rnacentral:rRNA from 1 species